rnacentral:rRNA from 1 species
AAUAUGUGGCAUACGGCUCAGUAACACGUAGUCAACAUGCCCAGGGGACGUGGAUAACCUCGGGAAACUGAGGAUAAACCGCGAUAGGUCAUCACUUCUGGAAUGGGUAAUGACUUAAAUCUACAUGGCCCCUGGAUUGGACUGCGGCCGAUCAGGCUGUUGGUGAGGUAAUGGCCCACCAAACCUGUAACCGGUACGGGCUCUGAGAGGAGGAGCCCGGAGAUGGGCACUGAGACAAGGGCCCAGGCCCUAUGGGGCGUAGCAGGCGCGAAACCUCUGCAAUAGGCGAAAGCUUGACAGGGUUACUCUGAGUGAUUUCCGUUAAGGAGAUCUUUUGGCACCUCUAAAAAUGGUGCAGAAUAAGGGGUGGGCAAGUCUGGUGUCAGCCGCCGCGGUAAUACCAGCACCCCGAGUGGUCGGGACGUUUAUUGGGCCUAAAGCAUCCGUAGCCGGUUCUACAAGUCUUCCGUUAAAUCCACCUGCUUAACAGAUGGGCUGCGGAAGAUACUAUAGAGCUAGGAGGCGGGAGAGGCAAGCGGUACUCGAUGGGUAGGGGUAAAAUCCGUUGAUCCAUUGAAGACCACCAGUGGCGAAGGCGGCUUGCCAGAACGCGCUCGACGGUGAGGGAUGAAAGCUGGGGGAGCAAACCGGAUUAGAUACCCGGGUAGUCCCAGCUGUAAACGA